CUCUGUGUCAUUUUACACAGCGUGGGAAAAUUCAAUUUUCCAACGCUGUGUAAAAUGACACAGAG